AUAGUUGGUAUUUUUGAGCUGUGUAUAUGUUCUUAUCAGUUUAAUAUUUGAUAUAUGUAUUAUUAAUUCACACGAUACUAAAUUAAUUUUUGAAGGAGAGAUUCCAAUAUAAUAGCUUGCUAUUGGGAAUCUUAUGUGUCGCUAAAGUCUUGCACUAUAGAAUUGAGUCUGGCACACAUAAA
rnacentral:snRNA from 1 species